GGAGGAUUCCCAGACGCAAGAAGAUGGAGCUGGACAGCAGAAGAGCUCACGCCACACGCAGCGCUCUCAUCCUCGCCCACGGCAGCUUGGCACUGCGUGCCUCCAAGGAACAGCUGCUCGCCCGCCUGGAGGGAGACAUCGUGGGCAACAUCCUGCUGCUCUACAGCUGCAGCUGCCGGGACCUGCAGAACACGCUUGCGCUGCUGCAGAGCAUCACCGACUUCAGCUCUGCCUUCCAAGCUGUGGGUGACUCGGCCUGCUUUAACCCCUCCUUGAAGGGCAAGCUGCUGGAGAUCCUGAC
rnacentral:lncRNA from 1 species